rnacentral:rRNA from 1 species
GAUGAACGCUGGCGGCGUGCCUAAUACAUGCAAGUCGAGCGAACAGACGAGGAGCUUGCUCCUCUGACGUUAGCGGCGGACGGGUGAGUAACACGUGGAUAACCUACCUAUCAGACUGGGAUAACUUCGGGAAACCGGAGCUAAUACCGGAUAAUAUAUUGAACCGCAUGGUUCAAUAGUGAAAGACGGUUUUGCUGUCACUUAUAGAUGGAUCCGCGCCGCAUUAGCUAGUUGGUAAGUUAACGGCUUACCAAGGCAACGAUGCGUAGCCGACCGGAGAGGGUGAUCGGCCACACGGGAACUGAGACACGGUCCAGACUCCUACGGGAGGCAGCAGUAGGGAAUCUUCCGCAGUGGGCGAAAGCCUGACGGAGCAACGCCGCGUGAGUGAUGAAGGUCUUCGGAUCGUAAAACUCUGUUAUUAGGGAAGAACAAAUGUGUAAGUAACUAUGCACGUCUUGACGGUACCUAAUCAGAAAGCCACGGCUAACUACGUG